ACAAGGGGACAUUUGUGGAGUACCUGGAAUCAUGUGUUUCUGCAGCUGCCCACUUGCCCCACUCUUGUGCCUGCCUCAGGACUGGCCUUCUGACCUAAUCUUCUCUCUCAUUCUGCCCCCGUACCCUGCGCUUUGCCAGCUGCUGAAUGGAGUCCCGUGUGAGCCAGGCCCGUGGGAGGCCGCCUUCGGGUGAUGCCUGGUGGUGCCAAAGGCCCUUGCCCUAAGAACUCUGCCCACUGGCAGGGCUGAGGCCUGAAAUUCCUGGCGUUAGAGUCGUUUCAUUCCUUUCGAUUACUCUGUCUUCUCCAGAGAGCUGUUGUUAAAAUGCAAAUAUGUUCCUCUGAAGGGUAACCUGUUAGCCCACUACUGUGGCCACGGAAAAGCAAAAUGCCCUGCGUUUUGGUUCAGUCACAGGACUGCCCUGUCGCCCAGUUUCUUAUCUGUAAAAUGGAGAUAAUAAGAGAUUGCAUUUUGGGGUUACCCCAAGCAUGAAAUGAGAUCGUGGACAUCAAGCAUUGGACGCGUAAGAAACAGUCGAUAAAAUUGGCUUUUGCUUUUUUUUCUUUAUAAGGCAGUAGGAUUAUUUGAUCACUUCUCUAGCUGGUUCUUAUUAGUUUGUUUGGUUUUUCAAAGUCUUUUGUUUUAAUGUCGCCUCCUUUCAAGAUUACUUUUCUAAUUAUAAAUUGCUGCAGCUCCAAUUCAACCCCUAGCCUGGGAACUUCCUUACACCACGGGCGUGGCCCUAAAAAGACAAAAAAUAAAAGAGAGAAGAGAGGUUUCCCAUACUGUUCUGCUACGUUUUUCUCCUAAUGCUCCAUCUUGAACAUAUUGCAGAUCAUUCCAUCACCUCUAGGCCUAAAGAGAGUAAGAGCUGGUUUUGAGUUCCCUCUGUGCUCCUCUGAGCUUCCGUUCUCUGCUCUAUAAAAUAGAGGUAAUGAUUCCUUCCUUCAAAGGUUAGGAUGAGAGUUAACUAGAAUGCAAAUGUGCUCAGCACAGCUUAUUGGAUAUUGGGUGAUCAGAGCCCAUCACACCAUCGAGAAAAUGUCUUUCAUUCCUUGGAUUCCUCAUCCUCCACCCUUGGCCCCCUUGGGAGAGGACGGAUGGGAGGCUGUGGGGAAUGAGGCUGAGUCUGGGGUGAAUCACAGCGUUUCAUAAUGGAGUUUAAAAUCCUCCUUUCAGUGCGGAGUCAUGUUAAAAUCUGAAGCAGCUCAUUAACAGAUGCCGCCCGAUUUUGUUUAGGACACUGUCUCUGGGCUCACUUUUAUUUAUUCAGCUGCAGGAGGAUGCCUGAAGCCAGGUAUGUGGAUAGGAAGGCUGUGACCUGGGCCUGCCCUUCGUGGGGGCGCUCUCUUGCCAGUGGGGGAAAGCCAGCCCCUUUGAGUACAAGGGGGAGUCGUACCUUAUCUUUGCAAAAGGCAUCCCCUCCUGCUACUGAUGUUCCCUUUUCCACUUCUCUCCUUCCCUUCUGCCUUUAGAUGACCAUGUGCUUUUUCAUUUGUAUCACACAUUUUUCACAAAGACCUCUUACUCUCGUUAGCUCAUUGAACCCUGGGACAAGUCAAUAGGUUUCAGUCCGUACAACGUGACAGGUGAAGCAGCAGAGGCCCAGAGGACCUGAGAUAGGAGUCCAACUCACGCAGCAAAAAGUGGACAGAUCUGGAUGUCUUGGCUUGCAAGCCAUGCGAGUCGUGCUGUAUCAUGUUCCCUCCUUUUCUAACUGUUGGCAGGAAGCUCCUGAGAGUGAGGGCUGCGGGAGGGGCCCUCAUUCUGGCCAGUGGGGAAGCCUUUCUGGAAUGCCUGAGGUGGUUGGGCUUGGUGUGCUGGGAGGGACUGGUGAGACCAGAUAAAGGGAUGGGUUUGGAGGUCAUCCCAAGGUCAGUGGAGGGGGCGGCGCAGAGCUGGGGAGAAUGGGCUGGUGCAGAGCCUAGACACCAAAGGGGAGGCCAACCUUUGUCACCAUUGGUAGGUUGGUGGGUGUUUUCAACAUUCGGUAUCAUUUUUGAUGUUUGCCCCCCCCCCUUUUUUUUGCCUCAAUCAGUAGCACACCAUAAAAUCCUCUUCCUGUUUCCCACAGAGGACCCCUCUCCUAAUUCAGCUUGCAUCUCCCUCACCCUCUAUAAUCACAUCCAACGAAUCAAAACCUAUCUAUUCUGUUUAGAGCUAUUCAGAUACACUCAUAUGCUUAAACGAGCACACUGGCUGGAUACAUUUAUUUAGCUCGUUUAAUAUCACAGUAGCCUUAUGGACCAGCUCUUCCCAACAGAAAUAUAAUGUGGGAGUUCCCAUCGUGGCGCAGUGGUUAGCGAAUCCGACUAGGAACCAUGAGGUUGCGGGUUCGAUCCCUGCCCUUGCUCAGUGGGUUAACGAUCCGGCGUUGCUGUGAGCUGUGGUGCAGGUUGCAGACGCGGCUCAGAUCCUGCGUUGCUGUGGCUCUGGUGUAGGCCAGUGGCUACAGCUCCGAUUCGACCCCUAGCCUGGGAACCUCCAUAUGCAUUGGGAGCGGCCCAAGAAAUGGCAAAAAG
rnacentral:lncRNA from 1 species